CACAACUGCCGACGCGUCUGUCUCGCGCUCCUCUCCGCCCUCGGCGAACCUCGCGCCGACGCCCCCUUUCCCGGCCACGGCGACCUCGAGCUGGAGUCCAAGGCAAGAUCGAAGAGGGCACGGCAGCGGGAAAGCACAGGAGCAAGGAGAGGACGACGGAAGCGGCGGCGGCGCACCCAAUCCCAACGCCCAUCCUCACCCGGAAGCGCUGGUUCUUCGUCGGCUCCGGCUACGGUCGUUGCAAGGGAAUUAAUGGACAACUUGUGGUAAGGAAUCGGUGUUGCUUCUCAGCAGUUGGGUGAGGUGAAUUACACCCCUGGCAUCGACAUAGAUGAAACCUACAUGCCAACUGAUCAGCAACUUAACAACUUCACUCCUGAGGGAUCCGAAAACGUGAACCCUAUGCCAGCAAAACCAGCAAAGCCUAGGAAA